AAAAAAAAAAGGCUCUUGGGUCCCACCGUAAGAGCGCAUAAAGAGAGGAGGUACAAUGACCGUCCUUUGCCAUUGUAGGGCUCCCUAAUUUAUGCGUUUUUAGACCCGUAAGCAUCAUUUUGUGGGCAACCAAACGGGCACUUCCAAAUUAGCUCAAAGUAUCCAAGCCCAGAGAAGAGAGAAAACACACAUACACUGAUAAAUACGCAGAUGCUAACUUGUCUUUUAUGAACUUGAAACACAUCGGCUAGGUCUUCAUCCUCACCUGCACUGGAAUUACCUACUUAAAAAAAACAAACUAAUGAUACACAAAGAAGCACUUAUGUAUGUAUUUAAACACUUGCUGGGAUCCUUCUGAAAACUACAGUUUGAAUUUUACGUUUCCGGUUUAGUUUAAAUUGUAUUGUUUACUUGUAUGUAUUAGCUUAAAUAAAAUAAUAGAAAGUCAUUUCAAACGUUUCUCAGAGACAACAGGGUAAGUAAAAAAUAGUUGCGUUAUGACAUCUGUGAAUAUAAAAGUUAUUUGUGGCCCAUUAUAUUUUACUUUUCAAGUUCAAACGUAUUUCAAAUAUGAAACCCAUUAUCAUAAUCUCCAUAUUGAUUAGUUGUCCAAAUUGAAAAGUGUUUACAAUUUUAAUUUUUUCCAGAUGAUUAUUACUCUGUUUUCAGGCUAUAAAUUUCAUCUCAUGUAAUUUUCUUCGUAGAACUUUGACAUAGCAGUUAACAUCAAGUGGUUGUACUACAAUUUUUGCUUAUUUUGUUUUUCAACUGCAUUGGGUCCUGUUUUAAGUGCAUAUACAUCUGGAAUGCUUCCAUCUUUAAAUUAAAAGCACUUUAUCACAUCUGAAGGUUCUCUGCAGAGAGUCACUUUCUGACUGCUUAGGAACUUGAUAAGCCAAAUAGUAUUCCAUCACUGUAGGUAAACAGUUCUGGGAAAGAAAAAUCUACAAUCUUUGACAUUUCUUCCUGUCAAUUGUUUGUACCUCAUUCUGGAAAUUACAUAUCUUCAUGCCGGAAACGCUAUUUGGAUGUGUGUGGAUGAUUCUGAAAAUUGAUAUAGUCUGAAGGAUGUAUAUGUACAUUUAUAUAUAGACACAAUAUAACCCAAUUGAUAUUCCA